CAGUAGCCGCGGUAAUACGAAGGGGGCUAGCGUUGUUCGGAAUCACUGGGCGUAAAGGGUGCGUAGGCUGGUUCUUAAGUCAGGGGUGAAAUCCCGAGGCUCAACCUCGGAACUGCCUUUGAUACUUGGGAUCUUGAGUCCGGAAGAGGUGAGUGGAACUGCGAGUGUAGAGGCGAAAUUCGUAGAUAUUCGCAAGAACACCGGUGGCGAAGGCGGCUCACUGGUCCGGAACUGACGCUGAGGCACGACAGCGUGGGGAGCAAACAGGAUUAGAUACCCGCGUAGUCCCUGUCUCUUAUAA
rnacentral:rRNA from 1 species